rnacentral:tRNA from 1 species
GCCAGUGUGGCAUGGUGGUUUGAGUGUUGGACUACAACUCUGCAGACCAGGGUUCGAUUCCCAGCUUGGCCA